GAUGAACGCUGGCGGCGUGCCUAAUACAUGCAAGUCGAGCGAACAGACGAGGAGCUUGCUCCUCUUGCGUUAGCUGCGGACGGGUGAGUAACACGUAGAUAACCUACCUAUUAGACUGGGAUAACUACGGGAAACCGGAGCUAAUACCGGAUAAUAUAGUGAACCGCAUGGUUCAAUAGUGAAAGACGGAUUUGCUGUCCUUUAUAGUGGGAUUCCGUCGGCUUUGCCUAGUGGGUAGGGUAACGGCUUACCAAGGGAACGAUCCGAAGCGGCCCUGAGAGGGGGAUCGGCAACCUGGGAACUGGAAAACGGCCCAGAUUCCUACGGGAGGCAGCAGUGGGGAAUCUUCCGCAAUGGGCGAAAGCCGGACGGAGCAACGCGGCGUGAGUGAUGAAGGUCUUCGGAUCGUAAAACUCUGUUAUUAGGGAAGAACAAAUGUGUAAGUAACUAUGCACGUCUUGACGGUACCUAAUCAGAAAGCCACGGCUAACUACGUG
rnacentral:rRNA from 1 species